rnacentral:lncRNA from 1 species
CCAACAUGUACUCAGAGAAAAUAAAAGGCUAUAAAUUAUAUAUAUAUAUAUAUAUAUAUAUUUUAAGCACUAGAAUUUUCAAAACUUAUUUCUUAAAAAAAAAAACAACUCUGAAAAGACUUUGCAACUAGAAAGGUUUAAGUGUUACUCGGCGUCAGGGGACGGAGUGGGGGGAAACCAGACAAGAACGCCCAUCAUGAAUUGCUCCCCACAAAGAAAACAAAUUUCUAGGAACUUGGCCGUUUUCCCCUGUCCUGAGUGGGGUUCCCGAUUCCGUGCCGCUUUGAGGGAAGCUGCUCCGUGAAUGUGAGAAAGUUUUUCCCCCAGCCCCCAUCUACUCCCCACCCCCAGCUAUGAAUUUCUUAUUUCAGGAGGGAGGACAAACAUGGAGACACACAUUUUUACAGGAGUCUAAUUGGCCGAUUUUUCUCCGGCUUCUCUUCUCCAUCCCGUCUCUUGGAAUUUCUUGGCACGCCCUACCUGAGAUCCCCUACGGGAGAUUUCCUCUUGGCUCCUGCGGUUCUGAGGACGUUCUGAAAAGUUCCCAAGCCCCACCUUUGGUAGCUGCCCAGACCCCAGCUUCCAAUUCUUCCCUCUUCUUUGCACAGGUAGCCGUCAGCCCCAUAGCACCACCAGCGUCCAAAAUAGACCACUUUUAGCAAAUCCGGCAGGGCUGGGGCAGUCUAAGAGUUUGGAAACAAACUGAGAAUAGAGGGGUCCUAUUUCAUGCCAGGUUCUCGCUGGUUUACAUUCCAACUCCCCUCUGUCCGUUGUGCGAAAACGUCUCCAGGCCGACCUUCAUUCAUUUAUUGUCAACAAACGUCCUGGGAGAGCGGCUACAGCCGGCCGCUGAACCCAGAAGGGACUUUCUCUAGGCUUUCUUGGCACCCUCCCAAUUAUCUUCCUUCUCUUGCCCGAGGGCAGACCAACACAGCUACGAACAUGGGUGACUGAGGGUCAGACCCCUUCCCGGAACCGCCUCCAAGCUCCUAAUUUUUGCCUAAUGUUAAACCAUAUCCAAAGAUGAAUAUUUAAACAAUCAAUUCAGUGGCGGAGUAAAUUAAACGUUAUUCUCCGAUCAAACAGGAGCUUCGGGUCCACCUGUUUGGAAGCACCCAGGCAGCUUGGAGAGGUCCGGCCUUCGGGUGCGACCCGCAGGGGUUGCCCUGCCCGGUUCGCGGAACGGACGUUUACCUGUCGCAGCUACGAACCCACCAACGACACCAAGCACUUGCCGGGCAGACCAGGCGUCGUGGAGGCGCCCCAGCCCCCCCAACUCCCCCGCAACGACGCGUCCCAGGGGUGCUGUUGUAGGAGCAAGGGAUACAAUGAUGAUCAAGGCAGAUGCAGCCGUUACCUUCAGGUUGUGGAGUCCGGAUACAGACUGGAGGCAGGCAGCUGUAAGAUGUGUGAGAAAUGCUGCGCUGGAUCAGCCCAUGGUAUAGGAGAGCAGGUAAGGAAGGGUGGGGACAGGAGCGGACAACCUGGAGGAAGAGGCACCUAAGCAGAGUCCGGAAGGCUGAGGAGGAGUCAGCAGGUAAAAGAGAGGGGAAUCAUGACAUGACAUCUCAACUGUAGGACACGGCUAGCUGGCUGACUUAGCUGCUGUAACACCGGAUUUUUGCAAGACUCCCUGAGUAUUUCUCGUGGACUUGCGAACAAAUCUGAGCAAGAAAACCACGUAAUUUCUUUUAUGCCUUGCCCAAGAAAGCCACCUGGAGGGGCAAGGGGACCUUAGCAGAAAGAAGCUGGAGGUGGGGGGAGAACAGGGUGAUAUUACUCUCCAUAUGGUGGGGGGUGGACACCUCCCUGUCAUAUGGCUCGUAAUAUCCAGCGGGGGAGAGGGGGUUGACUUUCCCCUACGUUAUUGGUAAUAUCACCCCCCUCUCUCCCGCUAAAUAUUAAGUACAAUAUCACAGGUGGGGUGUACACCCCCGGCGAUGUUUGAAGUAAUAUCAACUUCUCCCCCUCUGGAUGUUAGAAACAAUAUCACAGGGGGGUGUACACCCCCCUGCGAUCCUGGGAGUAACAUCAUCCUCUUUCCCCCGGAUAUUAGGAACAAUAUCACGGGGAGGGGGGUGCACACCCCCUGCGAUAUUGAAAGUCAUAUCAUCUUCUUUCUCCCCGGAUAUUAGGAACAAUAUCACAGAAGGUGUUUACAACUUUUGCAAUGUUGGGAGUAAUAUCAUCCUCUCUCACCCUAGAUAUUCAGAACAACAUCACAUGGGAAUUGUACCCUUCUGUUUAUUGAGAGUAAUAUCAUCCUCUCCCUUUCUGUAUAUUAGAAACAAUAUCACAGAGGGCUGUGUACACCCCCAGGAAUGUUUUGAGUAAUAUUAUCCUCUCUCUGCCUGGAUAUUUGGAACAAUAUGACAGGAGUUGUGUACACCCACUGUGAUAUUCGGUUUAAUAUCAACUUCUAUCCCCUGGAUAUUGGGAGUAAUAUCUAUCUUUAGCCCCUGGAUACUAGGGACAAUAUCACAGGAGGGGUGUAUACACACGGCGCUAUUGGGAGUAAUAUCAUUUUCUCCACCCCUUGAUAUUAGGUACAAUAUAACAGUGGGGAUGUGUACCCCCUGGGAUAUUGGGAGUAAUAUUAAUCUCUUCCCCUGUGGAUGUUAGGAACAAUAUCACAGAAGGGGUGUAUACCCCCAGCGAUAUUGGGAGUAAGAUCAUCCUCUCCCAACUUGGAUAUUAGGAAUAAUAUCACAGGGGAAGUGUAUAACCACUGCGAUAUUGUGAGUAAUAUCAUCCUCUCCCAAAAUGGAGAUUAGGAACAAUAUCACAGGAAAGGUGUACACCUCUUCUGAUAUUUGUGGUAAUAUCAUCUCCUCCCCUCAUUGAUAUUAGGAAAGAUAUCACAAGGUGUGUACAGCCCCUGCGAUAUUGGGAGUAAUAUUAUUCUCUCUUCCCCUGGAUAUUAGAAAUAAUAUCACAGGCGGAGUGUACAGCAAACCCCCUGCGAUAUUGGGGGUAAUAUCAUCCUCUUUUAACCUGGAUAUUAGGAACAAUAUCACAGGGGGCUUGUACACUUCUUUUGACACUGGGAGUAAUAUCAUCCUCUCCACAAGUAAAUAGUAGGAAAAAUAUCAAAGAAGGUGUGUACACCGCUUGUGAUAUUGGGAGUAAUAUCAUCCUACCUCACCUGGAUGUUAGAAAAAAUAUCGGGGGGCGUUUACACCACCUGCGAUAUUGGGAGUAAUAUGAUUUUCUACCCCAGUGGAUAUUUAGAACAAUAUCACAGGGGCAGUGUACACCCUCUGAGAUAUUGCGAGUAAUAUCGUUCUCACCCCGCCGCCCCCACCCCAGAUAUUAGGAACAAUGUAACAGGCAGAUUAUACACCUGCUGCAACAUUGAAAGUAAUAUCAUCCUUUUCCCCCUGGAUAUUAGGAACAAUAUCUUAUGGGGGGUUUACAGCCCAUUCCAUUUUGGGAGUAAUAUCAACUUUUCAUUGCUGGAAAUAAGAAACAAUAUAGCAGUUCUGGUGUACACACCCUGUGAUAUGGGCAGUAAUAUCAUAGACUCUCCCCCGGCAUAUUAGGAACAAUAUCAGAAAGGGGUGUAUACCCACAGCGAUUUUGGGAUUAAUAUCAUACUCUCCCCCCUGGAUAUUAGGAACCAUAUCAAAGAAGGAGUGUCUACCCCUUGCGAUAGUGACAGUAAUAUCAUCCUCUCCCUCCCUGGAUAUUAAGAACAAUACCACAGAAUUGGCGUACACCCACUACGAUCAUGGGAGUAAUGUCAUCCUCUAACCCCUGGAUAUUAAAAACAAUAUCACAGAGGAGGUGUACACCCCUCGCGAUAUGGCCAGUAACAUCAUCGUCUCCUCCACUGCGUAUUAGGAACAAUAUCAAAGGGGUGUGUACACCUCCUGCGCUAUUGGGAGUAAUGUCAUUCUCUUUUCCCCUGAAUAUGAGGAAUAAUAUCACUGAUGGGGUGUACAACUCCUACGAUAUAGGCAGUAAUAUCAUCCUCUCCCAACCUGGAUAUUAGGAACAAAAUAACAGGACAUCUACACCCCCUGCGAUACUGGGAAUAAUAUCAUCCUCUCUCCCACUUAAUAUUAGAAACCGUAUCCCAGGAAGAGUGUAAACCCUCUGAGAUAUUGAGAGUAAUAUCAUCCACUCCCUACCUAAAUAUUAAAAACAAUGUCACGGGAGGGGUGUACACCCCUACAAUAUUGGGAGUAAUAUCAUCCUCUCCCUCCCGAGAUAUUAGAAACAAUAUAAAAGGGGUCGCGUACACCCCCUGUGAUAUUGGGAGUAAUAUCAUUCUAAUCCCCCCUGGAUAUUAGGAAGAAUAUUAUACAGGGGAUGUACACCCCUUGACAUAUUGUGAGUCAUAUCAUUUCUCUUCCCUUGGACAAUAGGGACAACAUCACGGGGGGGGGGGUGUCCCCUGUUAUAUUGAAAUUAUUAUCAUCCUCUCCCAAACUGAAUAUUAAAAACAACGUCACGGGGCUGCUGUGACCCCAGUAAUAUGGACAGUACUAUCAUUGUCUCCCUCCCUAAAUAUUAAGAACAGUAUCACAAGAGAGGUGUACACCCCCUGCGAUAUGGCCAGUAAUAUCAUCGUCUCUACCUUUGGAUACUAGGAACAACAUCACAGAGGGUGUGUACACCCCCUGCGAUAUUGGGCAUAAUGUUAGCCUCUCUUCCCCUGGAUAUAAGGAACAAUAUCCCUGGUCGGGGGAGGUGGAGUACAUUAAGAACAAUAUCUGAAGGAGGUGGGUGUACACCCCCUGAGAUAUUGGGUGUAGUAUCAUCCUCUCUUUCCUAGGAUACUAAGAACAAUAUCACAGGAGGGGUGUACAGCCCCUGCGAUAUUGGGAAUAAUAUCACCCUAUCCCCCUCUCGAUAUAAGGAACAAUAUCCCAGGGUGGGUGUACAUCCCCUGCGAUAUUGGGCGUAAUGUCAUCAUCUCCCAACGUGGAUAUUGGGAAUAAUGUCCCAGGGGGGUGUACACCUUCUUCGAUAUUGGGAGUAGUAUCGUCCUCUCCCCUCGGGAUUGUAGGCAAAAUAUGGAAGGGGUUUUACAGCUCAUGCGAUAUGGGCAGUAAUAUCAUCCUCUCCACCUAGAUAUUAGGAACUAUAUCACAGGCGGCUGUACACUUGUUACGAUAUUGGGAGUAAUAUCAUCCUCUCCCAUCAUGGAUAUUAAGAACAAUAUUCCAAAGGAGGUGUACACCCCCUGCGAUACUGAGAGUAAUAUUAUGCUCUCCCCUUCGGGAUAUUAGGAACAAUAUCGCAGGAGGUGUGUAUAACCCCUGUGAUAUUGGGAGUGAUAUCGCCUUCUCCCCCUGAAUAUAAGGAACAAUGUCACAGGAGGAUGUACACCCCCUGGGAUAUUGGGAGUAAUAUGAUUUUCUCCCCCUCGAGAUAUUCGGAACAAUAUCACAAUGGGUGUGUACAGCCGCUGCGACAUUGCCACUGGUAUCAUCCUCUCCCUCCCAGGAUAUAAGGAACAAUGUCACAAGGGGUGUACACCUCCUGCGAUAUUGGGGGUAAUAUCUUCCCCUCCCCCGCUGGCCAUUAGGAACAAUGUCACAGAAGAGGUGUCCACUCCCUGCUACAUUGGGAGUGAGAUCAUCCUCUCUGUCCCUGGAUAUUAGGAACAAUAUCCCUAGGGAGUGUACACCUCCUGCAAUAUUGAGACUAACAUCAUCCUCUUGCCCCCUGGAUAUUAGGAUCAAUAUCACAGGGGUGGUGUACAUCCCCUGCGAAACUGGAAGAAAUAUCAUCCUCUCCACCUUUGGAUGAUAGGGACAAUAUCACGGGGGAAGUCUACGCCCCCUGCGGUAUUGGGAGUCAUAUCAUCCUCUCCCACCCACGAUAUUAGGAAAAAAGAUGACCGAAGGGAUGUAUACACACUGCGAUAUUUUUCAUAAUGUCAUCCUCUACUCCCUGGCAAUUAGGAAUAACAUCAUAGAGGGGUGUACACUUUCUGUGAUAUUGGGAGUAACAUCCUCUACCCCUCGGAUAUCGGGAACAAUUGUAUUAAGUAUUAAUAUUCAUAAAUAUAAUAACAAUUAAUAGAAAUCAUCGAUAUAAAUAAUUACUAUAAAGAUAGUAAAAGUUAAUACGGAUUAAAAAUAUUAAUGUUUACUAUUAAUAAUUAACAGCAACCUCACUAUUAAUAAUAACAUAAUGAUAUCGGUAAUUAAUGUUACUUAAUUAAAUCAAUAAGUGAUGUUGGUAAUAAAACAAUAAUUAAUAUUAAGGUUAAUAACGAAUAUUGAAAAAUGACAAUACUAAUAAUUAAUUUUAACCAUGCAUAAUCAUAUUUAAAAUAAUCAUUAAUGAUUAAUAACGUUAUACUAUUAAUUAAUAUUACCAUUGAUAAUUAUUAAGACUGAUGUUUAAUAAUUAGUAAUAUUAUUAAGACUGAUGCUUAAUAAUUAAUCAUAUUAUUUCUCCUAAUACCGUAGGGGGUGUACACCUACCUGUGAUAUUGUUCCUAAUAUCCAGGGAUGGAGAGCAUGAUAUUAGUUUUAAUAUCUCAGUAGGUGUACACUCACCCUGUGACACUGAUCCUAAUAUCCAGGGGAUAGAGCAUGACAUGACUCCCAACAUAGCAAUUAAUGUACAGCCACCCGGUGAUAUUGCUCCUAAUAUUCACGGAAGAAGAGUAUGAUAUUACUCCCAAUAUCGCAGGGAGUGUACACCUCUUCUGUGACAUUGUUCCUGGUAUCCCGCCGGGGAGAGGAUGAUAAAAAUUAAAGUAUCGCAGGCUGUGUUCACUCACCCUGUGAUAUUGUUAUAAAUAUCCUGAAAGGGAGAGGACGAUAUUACUUCCUAUAACAGAUAGAUAUUACUCUCCAUAAUAGAGCAGGAGGUGUACACCCACCGUGUGAUACUGUUCCUAAUAUUCAGAGGCAGAGAGGUCGAUAUUACUCUCAAUAUCGCAGGAAGUGUACACCCCCGUGUGAGAUGGUCCUUAAUAAUAUUCCAAGGCAGAGGGGGUGAUAUUACUACAUUUAUCGCAGAAAGUGUACACCCCCCCCCAGGGAUGUUGUUCCCAUGAUCCUGGAGAGAAGAGGAUGAUAUUAGUUUAAAUAUGACAGAAGGUGUACACGCCCCAACUGAUAUUGUUUCUAAUUUCAGUGUAGGAGAGGAGGAUAUGACACCCAAUAUCGCAGGGAGUAGAAACACACCUGUGAUACGGUUCUUAAUAUUCAGGGUGGAAGAGGAUGAUAUUACUCUCAAUACAGACGGGUGUACAACCUGCACACCGAGGGUGUACACCCAUCUGUCAAACAGCACAUAAUUUCCAGAGGGGGAGAUAUUACCCCCAAUAUAGUAAACAGGCUGUGAGUCCACCGUGGAUCGUAAUAACUCGGGGGGGGAGAGGAGGUGGCUCUUACUCCCCAUAUCGCGGGGGGUGCCUCACCCCACUGCGAGGUGGAUCAUAAUAGCGAGGGGGGG